rnacentral:ncRNA from 10 species
GAACAACAUCUAUAGAGAAGCUUAUGCUUCACCAACCUGCCAAGAUCUGGCAAAGGUGGUUCAACGAUGUGGCUUUAAUUAGCAACAAUAAGAUCGUAG